GUAGUAUUCCAUGAGUUGGGCUA
rnacentral:sRNA from 1 species